GGCUUAACACAUGCAAGUCGAGGGGCAUCAGGAAGAAAGCUUGCUUUCUUUGCUGGCGACCGGCGCACGGGUGAGUAACACGUAUCCAACCUGCCCUUUACUCGGGGAUAGCCUUUCGAAAGAAAGAUUAAUACCCGAUAGCAUAAUGAUUCCGCAUGGUUUCAUUAUUAAAGGAUUCCGGUAAAGGAUGGGGAUGCGUUCCAUUAGGUUGUUGGUGAGGUAACGGCCCACCAAGCCUUCGAUGGAUAGGGGUUCUGAGAGGAAGGUCCCCCACAUUGGAACUGAGACACGGUCCAAACUCCUACGGGAGGCAGCAGUGAGGAAUAUUGGUCAAUGGGCGCUAGCCUGAACCAGCCAAGUAGCGUGAAGGAUGAAGGCUCUAUGGGUCGUAAACUUCUUUUAUAUAAGAAUAAAGUGCAGUAUGUAUACUGUUUUGUAUGUAUUAUAUGAAUAAGGAUCGGCUAACUCCGUGCCAGCAGCCGCGGUAAUACGGAGGAUCCGAGCGUUAUCCGGAUUUAUUGGGUUUAAAGGGAGCGUAGGUGGACUGGUAAGUCAGUUGUGAAAGUUUGCGGCUCAACCGUAAAAUUGCAGUUGAUACUGUCAGUCUUGAGUACAGUAGAGGUGGGCGGAAUUCGUGGUGUAGCGGUGAAAUGCUUAGAUAUCACGAAGAACUCCGAUUGCGAAGGCAGCUCACUGGACUGCAACUGACACUGAUGCUCGAAAGUGUGGGUAUCAAACAGGAUUAGAUACCCUGGUAGUCCACACAGUAAACGAUGAAUACUCGCUGUUUGCGAUAUACAGUAAGCGGCCAAGCGAAAGCAUUAAGUAUUCCACCUGGGGAGUACGCCGGCAACGGUGAAACUCAAAGGAAUUGACGGGGGCCCGCACAAGCGGAGGAACGUGUGGUUUAAUUCGAUGAUACGCGAGGAACCUUACCCGGGCUUAAAUUGCAGUGGAAUGAUGUGGAAACAUGUCAGUGAGCAAUCACCGCUGUGAAGGUGCUGCAUGGUUGUCGUCAGCUCGUGCCGUGAGGUGUCGGCUUAAGUGCCAUAACGAGCGCAACCCUUAUCUUUAGUUACUAACAGGUUAUGCUGAGGACUCUAGAGAGACUGCCGUCGUAAGAUGUGAGGAAGGUGGGGAUGACGUCAAAUCAGCACGGCCCUUACGUCCGGGGCUACACACGUGUUACAAUGGGGGGUACAGAAGGCAGCUAGCGGGUGACCGUAUGCUAAUCCCAAAAUCCUCUCUCAGUUCGGAUCGAAGUCUGCAACCCGACUUCGUGAAGCUGGAUUCGCUAGUAAUCGCGCAUCAGCCACGGCGCGGUGAAUACGUUCCCGGGCCUUGUACACACCGCCCGUCAAGCCAUGGGAGCCGGGGGUACCUGAAGUACGUAACCGCAAGGAUCGUCCUAGGGUAAAACUGGUGACUGGGGCUAAGUCA
rnacentral:rRNA from 1 species